UAUUGAGCAAACCAUUUGUUAGCUAGGUUGUUAGUUUCUUUUGGGAGGUAAUAGUUGUAUGAUUGCAUUAAACAAGUAGGAAAAUAAAGGUGGAAACAAAAGCAGGUGCAGGUGAUGAUAUAAUAAUAAGACAUCAUAGUGUCCUAUAUCCCAACAAAUAACAAAGCAUCAAAAAGUGUUGUCAUGCUGGACAAAAAGCUCUUCCUGGCGUGUCAUUCAUAUAUAACCUUGCUUAUUGUUGGUGUUUGCCAUCUCUAGCUAUGUACCACUUGACUCAAAUGACAAGCAAGGGAGCAGCUAGCUGCUAUGCAUAUGAAGAAUGUUGAUGAGGGAGAAUUAUUAGUUGCGGCAUACAAGUGAAAUGGGAGCUGUUUCUUCAAUGCUUCUGGUUCUUCUGAUAUUGUGCAGUUCUGGUUUUGGUGGCAUAGCAUUUGGUUUGUUGAAUUUCAGCAGCAACAGUAGAGCUGGUUCAUCUUCAUCACCUAACAAUGAGGUGGUGUCUUCUGGGAACGGGAAAGGAGCAGAGUUAGAAGAGAAGAGGGGUGUGCCAUCGGGAGCUAAUCCUCUCCAUAAUCGCCGGUAGAAGCUAAUUAAGUGAUCGGGACCACACAGACUUCAAAGAAGAAACUAAAGGAAUCUAUCUAUCUAUAUGUCUGCUAUUCAUUUUAAUUAAUAGGAUGUUGUUAUUAUCUGAGAACAUGCCAAAAAAGUAUCCCCGUAUAUAAAACUUUGAUUGAUCUGACAUGUUUGUGCAUGAGCUGUCUCUUGGUUUGGUAACACCUCCUAAUGGAUGCCCUACAUUGCAUGC